AACCUAUGCAGGGGAAUAACCUCGGGAAACUGAGUAUAAUGCCCCAUAGUCCACUACGCCUGGAACGGUGAGUGGAUCAAAGCUCAGGCGGCAUAGGAUGGGCCUGCGGCGUAUCAGGUCGUAGGGGGUGUAAAGUACCCUCUAGCCAUCUACGCGUACGGGUGUUGGGAGACAUAGCCCGGAGAUGGAUUCUGAGACACGAAUCCAGACCCUACGGGGUGCAGCAGGCGCGAAAACUUGACAAUGCGAGCAAUCGUGAUCAGGGAACUCCAAGUGGCUGGGGUAAGACCCAGUCUUUUCAUAACUCUUCAAAGGUUGUAGAAUAAGGGGUGGGUAAGGACGGUGCCAGCCGCCGCGGUAAUACCGGCGCCUCAAGUGGUAGUCGCUUUUAUUGGGCCUACAACGUCCGUAGCCGGUUUGGUACAUUCGUGGGUAAAUCAACUCGCUCAACGAGUUGAAUUCUGCGAGGACGGCCAGACUUGGGACCGGGAGAGGUGUGGGGUACUCUCAGGGUAGGGGUAAAAUCCUGUCAUCCUGAGAGGACCACCUGUUGCGAAGGCGCCACACUAGAACGGAUCCGACGGUCAGGGACGAAGCCUAGGGGCACGAACCGGAUUAGAUACCCGGGUAGUCCUAGGUGUAAACGCUGUGGACUUGAUGUUGGAGAAGCUCCGAACUUCUUCAGUGUCGAAGCGAAGGUGAUAAGUCCACUGCCUGGGAAGUACGGUCGCAAGGCUGAAACUUAAAGGAAUCGGCGGGGAGCACCGCAACCUGAGGAUUGUGCGGGUUUAAUUGGAUUCAACGCCCGGGA
rnacentral:rRNA from 1 species